CCGACGAGCAGCGCGGCGAACGGCCCUGAACGAUCCUGGAAGCCGUUUGGGGACCUUGUAAACAGAAGGUCAGGGGUUCGAUUCCCCUCGUCGGC
rnacentral:tRNA from 1 species